CCCUUAGAUGUUCUGGGCCGCACGCGCGCUACACUGACGAAUGCAACGAGCUUAUAACCUUGGCCGAAAGGUCUGGGUAAUCUCCAAAUUUCGUCGUGAUGGGGAUAGAUUAUUGCAAUUUUUAAUCUUCAACGAGGAAUGCCUAGUAAGCGCAAGUCAUCAGCUUGCGUUGAUUACGUCCCUGCCCUUUGUACACACCGCCCGUCGCUCCUACCGAUUGAAUGGUCCGGUGAAGCGUUCGGACCGUGGCCUUUGGACGGUUCGCCGUCUGUUGGCUGCGGGAAGUUCGUUAAACCUUAUCAUUUAGAGGAAGGAGAAGUCGUAACA
rnacentral:rRNA from 1 species